GUUUAACAUUUUCUAUACGAAACUUCAAUAUAAUCAAUAGUGGUAGAAAGAAUUGAAAGAUAAUAAAAGUGGACCAAUAUGUUUAGUCAAUCUGUCUGUUCUUCAUAUAAUGAUGGAUCUCAUUUAUGUUUUUGCACAGUUUGCUAGUACAAUGAAACAGUUUUUGUUUUUGUUUCUGGAGCAUCCUUGAAUUUAUGUUAGCUGUUUUGUAGAGCGCAAUGGAAAGAAGUAGAUUGCAUACAAGGAUUGAGGACAACUAUGGACUGUGUUCGUCAGGAGUAGAGGUUGUUCGUGCUAAGCGAGGAUCAGUCUACUUCAUUCUUCCGAUGCUACAUAGGAGUUCCUUUAUGAUUCAGUUUCCUAUUUUAGAUUAUUGUCAUUUGUUUAGUUUGGAUUUUCUAGGGGUCCACACAGUAUGGAUUCCCGAGUUGUAUUUUGGAGGAUCAGUUGUAUCAGAAGAGUUUAUUAAUUAAUGGAAAUAUAUUAUGAUGUUUAUUAUUAGAUUAUCAUUUUAAUU